rnacentral:rRNA from 1 species
UAAACGCUGGCGGCGUGCUAACACAUGCAAGUCGAACGGAGUACUUCUCCCGAGACCGAGGAAGCUUGCUUCCAAAGAAUCAUUGAAGUACUUAGUGGCGGACGGGUGAGUAACGCGUGGGUAACCUGCCUCACACAGGGGGAUAACAGUUGGAAACGACUGUUAAUACCGCAUAAGCGCACAGUAUCGCAUGGUACAGUGUGAAAAACUCCGGUGGUGUGAGAUGGACCCGCGUCUGAUUAGCUAGUUGGUGAGGUAACGGCCCACCAAGGCGACGAUCAGUAGCCGGCCUGAGAGGGUGUACGGCCACAUUGGGACUGAGACACGGCCCAAACUCCUACGGGAGGCAGCAGUGGGGAAUAUUGCACAAUGGGGGAAACCCUGAUGCAGCGACGCCGCCGUGAGUGAUGAAGUAUCUCGGUAUGUAAAGCUCUAUCAGCAGGGAAGAUAAUGACGGUACCUGACUAAGAAGCACCGGCUAAAUACGUGCCAGCCGCAGC